UUAUGUGUUGAUACAAAUUCGUGAAACUUAUUUUUAAAAUGUCUUUUGGAAUAAAAUCAGAACGCUUCAAGUGCCAAAAAAAUUAAUGUUGUUUGUGAAAAUUACUUUCGAAAGUAAUCUGUGCAAUAACUGUUGUAAUCUGAUUGAGAUGAAUGGCAGUGUUGUUAAAGUAGAAGAGCCAGCGAACGCUUGUAUAAUUGGCUCCAAGUAUAGUGGCAGACCGAAAAUUGCUACAAGGAAUAGUACAAGAAAUAUAAGAAACUACAGAAUGAGAUUAAAUACCUUUUUAUUACCAAAACCAGUUUACUGUAAAUAAGAGGAAAUAAGUAAUUUUUAAGAGAAGUGCAAGUUAUGUACUUCUGUGGUAUUAUUAGUGGGAUUAAGGAAGUCCUGGAAGCUUGGUAUGAUAACUUCAUAAAUUUGUGGAUUAGAAUCCACUAUGACAGCAUACCAGACCAGCAGCAGGAAGCCAACUGCCAGGAAAUGAGUUGGUCACAAUCUGAACAUAGCUGUCACAUGCUUGUAGUUUCAGCCAAGGUACAUGAGAAGAAUCCUGUUGUUUACGAACGUAGAUCAUCCGCACACACCAUCUCAGCACAAGGAACAUCAGGCAUGAAAAAGGCAGAUCUGGUGCAAGUUGAUGAUGCGAAGUUGCUUCACAUGGAAUGUACUGAAUACGAGGUUGUUGCUGUGGUUUGCAGCCUGUGUGAGUUUGCAGAAGCGCUGUGCCAAUGUAAUGUUCAUCAUUAUGAACUUUGAAAGUGUGCAUUCCGUCUCAAAAUGAAAUUCCUGGCCACACCAGAUGUCCGCACGCAGUCGGGAGCAUAAAGCUGGUGGUGAACCAGUUAGAUGGGCAGAACCAGCUGUUCCGACAGCCAUCACAGAGACCAUUCAAUGUGGAAUGAUAUUAUGCAGUAUCUGGUGAUGCAGGACACAGGCUGAUCCUGUUUUGCUAUUUUCCUCGAGUAAAGGAAUGUGUACCCAACAUCUGUGGAGUAGUUCAGCCCUACGCAGCUGCUCUCAGACAACUCUCCCUGAGCUGGAACACGCUCUUGCCGCCUUUGGUACAGUUGCCGGAAGCAGUUCUGGAAUUACUGUGGCUGGAUGUCACACAGAGCAUCUUGAGUUGCAGCAAUAACUUCUUGCCUGCUGUUGAAACGAUGGCCUCUCAAAUGUUUUUCUCUCGAGGAAAGAGACAUCGGAUGGUGAGAGAUCAUGCGAUUAAGUUGAUGUGAUAACACGACAGUAUUGUGUUCAGCGAGCGAUUUUUGCACAGGAAUUCUGGGUUGUGUUAUCGUGCAGCAGAUUUAUAUCACCAGUCACUGGUCCCCUCCUGCAGCUGGUGCAACUUCUGUUUGAUCUUUCUUUGUUCAGAGUUGCAUCUGGAAUGAAUUUGUAGUGCACAGGACCACAAAACUCAGACUUCUGAUAUCACUGUAACUUUUUUAUCACCGUGAAUGAGGCGAACUGCAAGUCGUGGAUCAUGCUUUGUUUGUUAGUGAAAGAGAUGAAAAGUCUCGUCCAUGACAGUGAUGGACAGAGGGAGCAAAAGAUGUUACCAGAUGUCAUUGUGAGAUCACUGCAGAUUGUCAUCCACUCACUUUGCAUCCAAGGCGUCUUGUGCUGAGUAACUCGACGCAUGUUCAAAAAUCUCUUAAAACUCCAUGGCAAUUUCCAUGUCUUUGAAGAUCCUGCACUUUUGUCACCAUUCUUGCACUUGUUCUG